rnacentral:lncRNA from 1 species
UGCCACUUGACGGCCGCGGUGGGCGGAGCCCGGGAAAGAAAUGGGGCGGCCUCUUUAGGAUCCGCUACCCGCUACUCCCCGGGCCGCGGCGGCGCCGCGAUGGAUUGACCAGGAUGGCUCCAAUCUGAAUAGAGCAAAACAGGUGGAACUGCAUAAGGAGGAUACCAGCAGAGACCAGCUUGACAAUAGGAAAGACCUUCCUUGGGGAGCAAAAUUUGAACUUCCCCCUAUCGUCCUAGAGCCAGACAGGUCCCACCAAGCUCCGAAGUCCCGGCGGCCUGAGCCCUCCCGCUAACGAGGACCCCGAGACUUGAGGUAUGUCACACAAGCCGUUUGGGGUUGGGUCAGGAGGCCGGUGAGCAAGGGCAUCUCGUGUUUGCGAGCCGCUCUUUAAUUAAG